rnacentral:rRNA from 1 species
UGGCUGUAACAAAGGGAAGCGAAACCGCGAGGUGGAGCAAAACCCAAAAAAGCAGUCUCAGUUCGGAUUGAAGGCUGAAAUUCGCCUUCAUGAAGCCGGAAUUGCUAGUAAUCGCGAAUCAGAAUGUCGCGGUGAAUACGUUCCCGGGUCUUGUACACACCGCCCGUCACACCAUGGGAGUCAGCAACGCCCGAAGUCAGUGACCUAACCGAAAGGGAGGAGCUGCCGAAGGCGGGGCCGGUAACUGGGGUGAAGUCGUAACAAGGUAUC